GCCUCUGUAGUGUAAUAGUUUGAAUGUAGGAUUUGGACUCUGGAGAUUGGGGUUCGAUUCCCUGCUUAGUCA